CAGCCGCCGCGGUAGUACGGAGGGGGCUAGCGUUGUUCGGAAUUACUGGGCGUAAAGCGCACGUAGGCGGCUUGGUAAGUUAGAGGUGAAAGCCCGGAGCUCAACUCCGGAAUUGCCUUUAAGACUGCCGAGCUAGUAGGUGAGAGAGGUAAGUGGAAUUCCGAGUGUAGAGGUGAAAUUCGUAGAUAUUCGGAAGAACACCAGUGGCGAAGGCGGCUUACUGGCUCAUUCUAGAUGCUGAGGUGCGAAAGCGUGGGGAGCAAACAGGAUUAGAUACCCCAGUAGUCCCUGUCUCUUAUAC
rnacentral:rRNA from 1 species